CUGAAGGUUAGGACUGCGCAACAAAACUCUUAUUCGAGGCAAAACUCGUUCUUCCCAAAGGCAGGCUCUGAGCUGUGAGCUAGUGUUCAUAAUCUACGCAUUGCGCUUUGUCGAUUAUCCUUUCAGUCGAAGAUUAAUCUGUUCUUUAAGGAAAGGGCGUGGCUAAAGAUUUUCCGUCUGCCAUUUUUGCGUGUGAAGCCAUGCAAAUGUGCAGCGUCCCAAUUCGAACCCCAUCUUGGUUUUCCACUCGAAAGCUCUUCGAGCAGAAGCUUGCAGAGCUCCACAAGUGCACAGACCUCAACCAAGUGAAGCAACUCCACGCCCAAAUCCUCAAAUCCAAUCUCCACGUCGACCUCUUCGUUGUUCCCAAACUCAUAUCUGCCUUCUCCCUCUGUCGCCAAAUGCUCCUCGCCACUAACACUUUCAAUCAAGUACAAUAUCCGAACGUCCAUUUAUACAACACCAUGAUUCGUGCCCACUCCCAUAACUCCCAACCCUCACAAGCCUUUGCCACUUUCUUUGCCAUGCAACGUGAUGGAUUCUACCCCGAUAAUUUCACUUUCCCGUUUCUUUUGAAAGUUUGUACAGGGAAUGUGUGGUUGCCUGUUGUUGAAAGGGUACAUGCCCAAAUCGAGAAAUUUGGGUUCAUGUCGGAUGUAUUCGUGCCAAAUUCUCUAAUCGAUUCAUAUUCCAAAUGUGGGUCUCGUGGAAUUUCGGCAGCAAAGAAAUUGUUUGUGUCAAUGGGGGCUCGUAGGGAUGUUGUGUCAUGGAAUUCAAUGAUCUCUGGAUUAGCGAAAGGUGGGUUGUAUGAAGAAGCUCGAAAGGUGUUUGAUGAAAUGCCUAAAAGGGAUGGUAUUAGUUGGAACACAAUGUUGGACGGGUACGUUAAAGUUGGCAAAAUGGAUGAUGCGUUUAAGUUGUUUGAUGAAAUGCCUGAGAGGAAUGUCGUCUCUUGGUCAACAAUGGUGUUAGGGUAUUGCAAGGCAGGGGGUAUGGAGAUGGCACGAAUGUUGUUCGAUAAAAUGCCAGUAAAGAAUUUGGUUUCUUGGACUAUAAUUGUAUCUGGGUUUGCUGAGAAAGGGCUAGCUAGAGAGGCCAUUGACUUGUUUGAUCAAAUGGAAAAGGCUUGCUUGAAGUUAGACAAUGGGACGAUAAUAAGUAUUUUGGAUGCUUGUGCUGAGUCUGGUUUGCUUGGGCUCGGUGAGAAAAUACAUGCUUCCAUUAAGAACAAUAAUUUCAAAUGUACUACUGAAAUCUCCAAUGCUUUGGUUGAUAUGUAUGCAAAAUGUGGUAGGUUGAAUAUUGCAUAUGAUGUUUUUAGUGACAUAAAAAAUAAAGAUGUCGUGUCUUGGAAUGCUAUGCUUCAAGGGCUUGCAAUGCAUGGACAUGGCAUGAAAGCACUUGAGCUUUUCAAAAAAAUGAAAGAAGAGGGUUUCUCACCCAAUAGAGUUACAAUGAUUGGAGUCUUGUGUGCUUGUACGCAUGCAGGAUUGAUCGACGAUGGCAUUCGCUACUUCUCUACGAUGGAAAGGGACUACGGCCUUGUUCCUGAGGUUGAGCAUUAUGGCUGCAUGGUAGACCUUUUGGGUCGCAAGGGAAGGCUUGAGGAAGCCAUAAGGCUCAUUCGCAACAUGCCAAUGACACCAAAUGCCAUCAUUUGGGGAACCCUUUUGGGGGCAUGUCGCAUGCAUAAUGCUGUUGAACUUGCAAGGGAGGUUCUAGAUCAUUUGGUUGAGCUGGAACCGUCUGAUUCGGGUAAUCUUUCCAUGUUGUCUAACAUAUAUGCUGCGGCAGGGGACUGGAACUGCGUUGCCAACACGAGGUUGAGAAUGCGGAGUAUUGGAACUAAAAAACCGUCGGGUGCUAGUUCCAUUGAGGUCGACAAUGAGGUUCAUGAAUUUACAGUUUUUGAUCGAUCACAUCCAAAAUCUGAUAAUAUAUAUCAGGUGAUUAAUGGAUUGCGUCGUGAACUUAAACAAGUUGAGUGCUUUUCAAACAUGUGUUAAUAGAGUUUGGGGUAGCUAUAGAAUUGUAGAAGAUCGCUACUUAGUGAUGUGACGUGAUCUCGAAAUGUGACAAGAAUGUGUAGUUGAAACAUGAUGAGACGUUUAAUAGUAAAGACUAAUUUGUAGGAGGUUCUAAUGGAGAGGCAUAGUCAAGCUGACAUACAUGACUGCACAAUUAAACUGGCGGUGGUGUCUGUUUACAGAGAGUAAAUCCUAAAAAACAGAGAGACAAGGUGUGCAUUGGCUGUGGUGCUGGAUUUGGAGGCGAUAGGCCAACUGCGGCUCUUAAAUUGCUUCAGAGGGUCAAAAACCUAAACUAUCUUGUACUUGAAUGCCUAGCAGAACGCACUCUUGCAGAUCACUAUCAAGUUAUGUUGUCUGGUGGUGAUGGUUACGAUUCAAGGAGUAUGCCCUUGUUUAAUAAUCAUAUUUAGCCUACAAUUUUUCUAUCAAUUGUAUUUUUAUCAUUUCUUUCUAACAUUCACACUUCUGAAAGUUCUUAAAAUUGUUGAGAUGGUAGUUCUUUGUUAUGAAGCUGGCAAAAGUGAAGUAUUUUAGUAUUUCUAAAAACAUUGAGCACAUUUUCAUGCAUUGACAUUUGUACACUGUGAUUUUGGCCAAAAUUUGUUCUAUCUUUUGUGCAACAAGAUUGUUAGUUCAUGCUGUACUCAGAUUGCAGUUUGAUUCCUCAUCUUGCCUUUGUUUCUAGUUCAAAGUUUACUUUAAGUCCAUACGGUUGACUGAGCAAAAACUAGUGGAUGGUUAGAAGAGAACCAAUAAGAUUUACCAAAUUUUAGUAGGAGAUUGUCAAAAUUAUCCAAAAGAGAAAGGACACUUUUACAAAAUGCACAAUAUAAAAAGAACAGAAAUUGGAGAAAGUAUUUUGAAAUGAAGCAGAGAUCAAUUACCUUACUGUAUUGGUAUUUCAUACACUGGUUUUAAGACAUCUUCUCUUCACAUUCAAUUGCUGGAUCUGAUGUUGUCACACUGCCAAGAAGUUAGUCUGAUUUUUAUGGCUGGUUACCGACAGUUUUCUUGUUUGCUAAGUUAUUGCCCUGGAAGUUAUCUUGUAUUUAUAACAUAUUCUAGCUGCCCUGGAAGUUAUCCUCUAGUUUUAACAUAGUCUACUAACUAUAAUGGGUUGGGCAAAAGGGAAACAUUGAAUUGAAAAA